CAAGAUGCUCCAACACAUCGCUCACACCACCAACAUUUCCAUUGUGCUUCCCAUCAUCAGUAGUGCCUUUACAACAAUAAAAAGUGGGCAGGGCAAUGAUGGCGGAGUUGUUGAACCUGGUGCAGCCCUUGUUGGAGGUGCCCAUGGUGCUGCUGCUGCGGACGGUGGAAUGGCCAUGUCAGCUAUGCGAGAGGACGUUUCAGGCAUAGAGGUGCGGUCAAGGCCAUAGUUCUCUUGUUGUUGCGCCCCCACCCCCCAAUGUUAUGAGCCCUCGGUAGACCUAAUGCUGGUGGAUGCGGGGGUUGGGGCUGCACUCUUUGCUCCGUCCUCUUUCCCAUCCUCCCGCAAUUACUUCGACGAUCAGUAACCAGU
rnacentral:lncRNA from 1 species